ACCUUAAGCGUGAUCCAGGAUCCUGAACAAGCCCUAUCCUUCUGAUCUCAAAAGCUAAGCAUGGUCGGGCCUGGUCAGUACUUGGACGGGAGACCACCUAGGAAGACCAGGUGCUAUAGGUG
ensembl:rRNA 5S_rRNA 5S ribosomal RNA